CAGCUGAGCUGUACACGAAGGCUUUGUGCUGGGGGAGCUCUUUGAGAGGUGGAGCUUUUUCCAGUCGGUGCACCUAGGCUGGCUCUGCCCGAACCCAGUGUUCAAGGUCACGCAGGGAGCCUGGGGGAGAGGAAGGAACCAGACCCUGGCAGCCCCAGUGCCAGGACUGUGCUCCAGUAUCCCAGGAGACCUCAGUGUGGUUCUGGACAGAGGCUGUAUUUGCUUGUUUGUGCCUCGAAGAGAGGGACAGGGGCACUCUGCUGCAGGUGAAGCUCCAGACCUUCUCCUGGUCAUCACUCCUCUGGGAUGAGCCCUUGGUAGCAGGGACCAAGAGCAGCGUCACCGCUCAGGCUUUCCUAAUCUGGGUUUUUCCCAAAAAGACCCUUAUGCACUGCCAAAUCAUCCCUCAGCAUCAGCCCCAGUUACCAGACAGAGGUAGGGUGAUGCCUGCCAAGGUCACUGGUGCUCUCCAAACCUGGCAGACCUUCACCUUCCUGCCUGGCAUGGCUGGGCUGGCAGGAACAGCAUCUCCACAUGCUGCAGACCCAUGGCUGCAUGUGUCUCCUAAGUGGGUUAGGCCGGGCCUGCCCAAACCACCUCAUGUGACUGGAUGCACCUAAACUCCAAACCUGAAAUCUCCACCCUGGAGUUUAGUGCAGGUACUCAAAAUGCCUCCUUUUAGGGGAAAGAAAAAAAAAAAAGAAAAAAGAAGAAGAAACAGAGACAAGCAGAGAGAAAGAAUAUCCCUGUUGUUUACUUCAUUCUUCAGCAGGUAACCUUGUGAUUCUGUUCUAUUUUGGUGCUGACAUUCCUGGGAGCUUACCGUAACGAGAAGCAAACACCACAAACUAAAAUAACAGCUUGAACCUAAGAACAAGCCCUGGAUUCCCACCUAGAGGUUGACUCAUCUCUGAGGGCUGUUGGGUCCAUGAUUCCGUGUGACCAGUGGGGAAUUAGUGGGGCACUUGUGAGGAAAUAAAGGAUGAGCACGGUUCAAAA